UAUAAAAAAAAAGUAAAUCUCAUAUUAAAAAAACAAACAAUGUCAAAAAAAAUGUGCAGACUUUGUAUUCGUAGCAAACACUAAUAUAAUAAAGUUUUAGAUACGGAGCACAAACUACAGUGUUAAUUGUGGGCCUACAUAUUAAACACAAACCAACCAAUAUUAAAAAAAAAAAAAAAAGUGUAUAGAACCCACCAUCUCCAAACUCACGGGAAAAAAAAAGUGGACCCCAUAUUAACAAAAUCAAGCAAUAUAAAAAAAAGUGAACCCCAUAUUAAAAAAAUAAACAAUGUCAAAAAAAAACGUGCAGCUUUUGUAUUCGUAGCAAACACUAAUAUAAUAAAGUUUUAGAUACGGAGCACAAAUACAAUGUUAUAUUAAUCGUGUUUUGAACAUUAAAAAAAAGAAGUAAAAAAAGUGGAACCCAUUAUCUCCAAAAUCACGGGGAAAAAAAAGUGGACCCCAUAUUAACAAAAUCAAGCAAUAUAAAAAAAAGUGAAUCCCAUAUUAAAAAAAUAAACAAUGUCAAAAAGAAAAUGUGCAGACUUUGUAUUCGUAGCAAAUACUAAUAUAAUAAAGUUUUAGAUACGGAGCACAAACUAUAAUGUUAUAUUAAUCGUAUUUUGAACAU